UCCCUCAUGAGCACAGUGGCAUCUCACACCCCAGGCACGUGAUGAUUUGGAAAGGGAGGAAUGGAGAUUUAAAAGGGAUGGGCUUUGGGUUUGAAUGCUAGCGAGACAAGCAAAAUCAAGAAAAAAAAAAAAAAAGAUGAGACUGCAAAGGGAAAUUUAGCUGUGUGAGUGUAUAGCCCAAACUCUUCUUGAGCACCCUACCUGGUUU
rnacentral:lncRNA from 10 species